rnacentral:tRNA from 1 species
CCUGAUGUCUCAGACAGUAAAGAAUCCACCUGCAAUGUGGGAGACCUAGGUUCAAUCCCUGGGUCAGGA